rnacentral:rRNA from 1 species
GAUGAACGCUGGCGGCGUGCUUAACACAUGCAAGUCGAGCGAGUGAGUUCUUCGGAACGAUCUAGCGGCGGACGGGUGAGUAACACGUGGGCAACCUGCCUCAUAGAGGGGAAUAGCCUCCCGAAAGGGAGAUUAAUACCGCAUAAAAUUAUCGAGUGGCAUCACAUGAUAAUCAAAGGAGUAAUCCGCUAUGAGAUGGGCCCGCGGUGCAUUAGCUAGUUGGUGAGGUAACGGCUCACCAAGGCGACGAUGCGUAGCCGACCUGAGAGGGUGAUCGGCCACAUUGGGACUGAGACACGGCCCAGACUCCUACGGGAGGCAGCAGUGGGGAAUAUUGCACAAUGGGGGAAACCCUGAUGCAGCAACGCCGCGUGAGUGAUGAAGGUCUUCGGAUUGUAAAGCUCUGUCUUUGGGGACGAUAAUGACGGUACCCAAGGAGGAAGCCACGGCUAACUUCGUGCCAGCAGCCGCCGCGG